GCCACCUGAGGGGCGCGUUGGGCCCACAACCCGAGUACUCUAGAACGGGGGAAUGGGCUCCAUGACGCCUGUUUCGAAACCAAAAGGGGACUCGAGGCGGUAGGGUGGAGCUGAAGGACCGCAUUAUUAACCACGGAGCUUGGGAUGGGUUGACUCGUCCCAAAAAAUGCACCCAAAGGCGCUUCUUAUAGGUAUCUUUUACUGACCAGUCACUGCAUUUUCAAUGACAACUUGUUGCUUGGAUUCUAGCCAGAACCAAGUUCUUGCCCACGCAUUCAGAAGCCAGUAGCACAGUUCUACAAAUGCACAUCUGCUCAUUUCAAGAAAACUACCCUUUCUGGGCUUCAUGGAGUCGGUGUUAGCAAUUCACAAAGUAUUCCAGAUAGAGGAGACAACAUGUACUAAGGCAAAGAAACAUGAAAGGGCAUGAAUGUGAUUCAGGAAAAAUGAGAAAGUCUGCUCAAGUUUUGUUUUGACAACUGGAACAUAAUCAGGAAGUUUUUCCUAAGCACAUAAAUAUGCAGCUGUUGAGUUUUCACAUUGGCCAAUUUAAAUUUGUCUGAUGUAGGCAGAAAGUCGUGGCAACCACUCACCAUGACAAAGGUCAACAAUAGAAGUCUUAAUGAGAUGAUUAAUAGCACUAUGGGAAUCA